rnacentral:rRNA from 1 species
UACGUAGGGGGCAAGCGUUGUCCGGAAUCACUGGGCGUAAAGCGCGCGCAGGCGGUCAUCUACGUCUGGGGUGAAAGCCCGGAGCUCAACUCCGGGAUUGCCUUGGAUACGGGAUGACUUGAGGAUCGGAGAGGCAAGGGGAAUUCCACGUGUAGCGGUGGAAUGCGUAGAGAUGUGGAGGAACACCUGUGGCGAAGGCGCCUUGCUGGCCGAUUUCUGACGCUGAGGCGCGAAAGCGUGGGGAGCAAACAGG